UACCAGCACCCCGAGUGGUCGGGACGUUUAUUGGGCCUAAAGCAUCCGUAGCCGGUUCUACAAGUCUUCCGUUAAAUCCAACUGCUUAACAGGUGGGCUGCGGAAGAUACUAUAGAGCUAGGAGGCGGGAGAGGCAAGCGGUACUCGAUGGGUAGGGGUAAAAUCCGUUGAUCCAUUGAAGACCACCUGUGGCGAAGGCGCUUUCUGGGCCCUACCUGACGCUGAGGAGCGAAAGCGUGGGGAGCGAACAGG
rnacentral:rRNA from 1 species